CGGAUUUCUCGAACGAGAGAGAUUCCACUUUUAGGGAAAUUGUUUGCUAGAGAAGAUCCGCGUUGCUAAUUGAAUCCGUCAUUUCGUUGAUUAAGCACGAAUUCUGAAUAACCGUGGCGACAUUGCUUACAGCCUGUUAACGAGUUAAACGAAGAAUUAAAGGAUUAAACGAAGCAAUUUAUUUUUCAACUUUCAUGCACGAUAUGUCCUCGAUGAGAUAUUUAAUUUUGUAAGAAAACACGGUAGUUAAACGUUCGUAAGAUUAUGUUAACGUGACCAAAGUGGACGUAACAUCCUCAAGUGCCUUUUUAUGGAACGUAAACGAAAAAAAAAUAAAAAAAACGCAUGAAAGAUGCAAGUACGCCGGAACUGAUAGAAAUUACAUGCUAUAUCGAAGUCAAAUCGUCGCAGAUUAUUUUAUGUGAAAAACAAACAAGUGUCUAGAUCUCAGCUGUGUUAUUCCUGGAAGGACCAGGGUAAGCAAUUCUUUCCCAGCUUAACCGCUUCUUUCAAGGCAGCAGAUCUAUCGAAGACUAUCACGAACACGGUUUAAUCCCAAAUAUUCUCCACAAAGACUAGUAGUCACGUUUCAAGCAACAUCGUUUCCACGAACACUGCGCGAUCUUCGAUUUAACCUAGGAACAGCAUCAGUAGAAGCGGCUGGCUGUCUGCCAGCUUCCGACGAGUUAACCACCGACCGCAACUUUCUAGUGCCAGACCACGUCAUUCGUCACUACGACACAACUAACACAUUACCAACGAUUAAAUACUUUUUUUAACGUACAUUCAAAACGACCAUACGUUACGUAAUUUUACCACGUUAAACUUUUCAACGAUACGGGUACAGCGAAGUACGCUAAAACGAUCUUGGUGAACUUCAAAUGUCCUUAUUUGUUACAACAGCAGCCUGCUCUAUCAUACACCUAGAUACAUAGAUACACUUUCAGCCAUAAGUACCGCAAGACAAGAGCCGAAUUAAGAGACGAAUUAAACGCAUUUCACUGCUUGCAUUUUCUAGUUAUUUUUCACAAAUUUGUUAUUUCGUUCGCAUCGCGUACGUCCUUUGUGAUAUAAAAUAUUAAAUAAAGAAAAGCGUUCGAGCUUUGUCUAAUAAAUGUAACGAGUUGGAGAGUAGAAAACUUCGAUGAAAAAUAAAAGAACACAAGCGUACAAAUGAUAUAAAAUUACUUUAUGUAAUUUUCACACAUUGUGGUCUCACAUUUGUACUCUUUUACUCAUCCAAGAUCUCAGUCAAUUAGCUUUUCUAUUAUAUUUUACCGAAUCGUGGCUAAUGCUGUAAAGCAAAGUAAUUGAAAAGAACACGUUUAACUGAGAUUUCCGAGAUUAUUAAAAAAUGAAUAAGUACAUGAUUAGACUGAACGAUCAACAUUAUGAAGGAUAAAAAAUGAUAAUCUAACGAUAAAGUUCUGGCUACAAAUGUUUUAUCAUCCGUUUUUCUCGUCUUUUCUGACUUUAGUCGUAAGAAUUAUUCGGCACAGCAUUCGUUUGUUGUACACGCUAAAUUCACGUUUCACGAAUCUAAUCCUUGACAUCGUUUCUAGCAGACGAACUAUCGACAAAUUGGACAGAAUGUAACACGAUGUUUUCUCAUCGCGUUUAAAAGCUGCGGACGUUCUUUUCGUUUAAUUCGACGUGUAUUUUCUCGAGUUAAGUUCGAUGGGCGAAAGAACGUAUCAGCAACAUGUUGAAUGAUAAAGCAAGAUUACAAGCGUUGUAAACAAUAUUGCGAUAACGAGAAGCGAUGAAGGGAGGUUCCGUGGAAAAAAAGCUCGCGGGUGUAGUUCAUCAAUAAACGUCCGGAGUAUGUAUGUUAAAAUAGAUUUAUAGCAACAGCUGCGCCAAGAAGUUGAACCGAUACGAAAACCUUCGAGUUUACGGAGUUUCUGGUCAGCGAUUUAUGGUUCUUUGCCGAAAAUUAAUUUACUUCGCCUGGAUUUGAUGGUCUAAUUAUACCCAUGGAUUUAUUUAUCGAGCGAAUUAUAUUUUACAAGUAUACUUUCACAGAUACAAUAUUCGCAUAGAAUUUCGAAAAUGAGGAGAAUGAUAUUGAUAUACGCAUGAGAAUAUACGUGUUUGUUCAAUUGAAAAAUAGUUAUACGCAUUUCCUUCGAAGUCAUUCUUGAUUUAAAGAUAUAUUAUUAUCUCCAAGUUUAAGGCAAUUUAGUCAUAAUGACUUUCACAGAAUCAGUUACAUUGAAAUAAAAGGCUGAAAGUGGGAAAAUUAUGAUAACGAUUUAAUGUUUCAUGGAACGAUAUUUCGAGCUUCCAUUAAUCUAAAAAUCUAGGCGAAACACAGUUUGCAGCAGUCAAGGAAGUUUACGAUAAAUUAUGCCAUGUCUAGAAACUUGUGCGUAAAUUCGCGAUAAAUCAGUCAAUGGGGUUACUAAAUGGGGUUAAAUUUUCCCACUUUACUUGAAACCAUGGAAAAGAUUUGGAUAACUGAAUAACUAAGAAAAAAAGAGGUGGGAACAGUGAGAAAUAUGCGGUUGUCGAAGGUUUAUAAGGCAAGAGCAAAACUGAAUCUUUAGAACGGGCUAUCUACCUAGCAAAUGUACGGAGAAAAGAUUAUAAAUUUGUUUGGAACGAAAGCAUAUGAAAGUUAAAAGUCCCAUAAAAAUAAAUAAAGAAAAACGAAAGGAGACAAAUUUGCAAACUGAAUUAAUCUACGUCCUACAAAUUUUUCAUCUCACGAUAAUAUUUCAAUUUAUAGGAUCGUAAUUACAGCGAAAGCUGUUCCCUGCAGCUGCGUCUAAAUGAUUUUCGUCUGCGUGCAAAUUCUAUGAACGAAAAUCGUUUGACACCGAACGAAGCUAUCGUUUCGUUAAAAAGCAGUGAGAUUUAGCAGACUUCGUGCUGGCGACUUUAAUGUAGUUCUUUUUUUUCGACUCUAAAUAAAUCUCGUCAAGUCCAGAAACACCGAGAGAAAUUGCGGUUCCAGAAGUAAUUGCAAGGCCGUUUAAACGCGUCAUUGUUUUUCUAUACGAUUUCUUUGGACUAAGACGACCUUACCUCGAGUCACAAAUAAAAAACGUAAAAGAAGAAUUUCCUCCGAUACAACUAAACUUAUACCGCGUGUCUUGCACUGCAAUAAAAUAAACGUUUCAAUGUCACCAUUGAUUUUAUUACAAACUCGAUAAUCGAAGCACGCGUCGGAUACGUAAAACCAAUUAUAGAAAACUGUAAUUUCUCAUGUAAUUCGAAAACGCUAUAAUUUCCUUGAGUAAUAUAUCCCAUAAUUAAUAUCGCCAAUUAAAUAUUCAUCAAUUCCAUUUUAUAUGUAUGAUACUUGUAUCG